UACGUAGGGGGCAAGCGUUGUCCGGAUUUAUUGGGCGUAAAGCGCUCGCAGGUGGUUCGUCGCGUCGUGCGUGAAAGACCCCCGGCUCAACUGGGGGGCGUCGUGCGAAACGGGCGGACUGGAGGCCAGUAGGGGGAUGCGGAAUUCCGGGUGUAGUGGUGGAAUGCGUAGAGAUCCGGAGGAACACCAGCGGCGAAGGCGGCGACCUGGACGGAACGUGACAACUAAACUACGAAAGCGUGGGAGGCAAACAGG
rnacentral:rRNA from 1 species